GGGGCUGACCGGUUUUGACAGCGUGUAGAAGCGGUGUGUAAGCAUGCAGAGCGAUUCGGUGCCUACGCUCUUUAAUCUGAGACAUCGGAAAUUCAAAUGGCGAAAACAACUACGCUCUCGCUGCCUGAUUGAAGCACAGUAAAUCGGCUUUAUCUCCGCAACAGUUGCGGAGACGAGACAUCGCCCGAUUGUCGUCGUCCCGAGACUAAUCGACAAGGCGGUGCAGCUAAAUCGGGAAUAGGCCCUCCCCUGCCUUGCGGGAGAGCUGAAAAUUUAGAGGCUAAGGAUGAGGAUUGGGCGUCGCCGCCCGGCCUCCUCACGACAACAAAUCGGCGAAUAAGCAUGUAGAAAGCAUUCUGAUUCCGCGUUUGGACGAGGGUUCGAAUCCCUCCAGCUCCACUC
rnacentral:tmRNA from 1 species